CAGGUGCGCAGGUGGCUGCCUCGGAGGUUUGUGUAGGGGGAUUGGCGGUUUCUGGAUCCUUCCUCCAUGAUUUUCAGCACAGGGGAGCUCUCCUUUCUGCAGUGUGGAGGAGCGCUGGGCAGGAGGCGGCGCUGAGGGGUAAUGCAUCCGGUGACUUUAACUUAGAGUCAAUGCUCAAAUGGAACAACAAAGCCUGGAUGACAGCACAUCUGUUUAGUACAUCGUUCACUGAAUAUUUUGAACUCAUUGUUGAGACCUACCGCCCAGAGAAAGAGAUUCCUUUCAAAAUAUGACUGCUCACUGGCCACGGGGACCAGUUCCACAUCCCAUAGAGUGUUGCCCAGAGCUCUACCCUCGUGGUGGUCCCACUCAGAGGUGGUGAGGAGGGGGACGGAGCCUGGCGGUGCAACAGCCAGAGGCCUGAGAUGGUGUUCGCUGUGCGGCCACGAUCUGCUCCCAUUGGCCAGGCAACGAGGAGAAACCACCGUCUCCUU